rnacentral:rRNA from 1 species
UACGUAGGGGGCGAGCGUUGUCCGGAAUCAUUGGGCGUAAAGCGCGUGUAGGCGGCCCGGUAAGUCCGCUGUGAAAGUCCAAGGCUCAACCCUGGGAUGCCGGUGGAUACUGUCGGGCUCGAGUCCGGAAGAGGCGAGUGGAAUUCCUGGUGUAGCGGUGAAAUGCGCAGAUAUCAGGAGGAACACCAAUGGCGAAGGCAGCUCGCUGGGACGUGACUGACGCUGAGACGCGAAAGCGUGGGGAGCAAACAGG